rnacentral:rRNA from 1 species
GUGGGGAAUAUUGCACAAUGGGCGAAAGCCUGAUGCAGCGACGCCGCGUGAGGGACGACGGCCUUCGGGUUGUAAACCUCUUUCAGCAGGGACGAAGCGCAAGUGACGGUACCUGCAGAAGAAGCACCGGCUAACUACGUGCCAGCAGCCGCGGUAAUACGUAGGGUGCAAGCGUUGUCCGGAAUUACUGGGCGUAAAGAGUUCGUAGGCGGUUUGUCACGUCGUUUGUGAAAACUCACAGCUCAACUGUGAGCCUGCAGGCGAUACGGGCAGACUUGAGUACUGCAGGGGAGACUGGAAUUCCUGGUGUAGCGGUGAAAUGCGCAGAUAUCAGGAGGAACACCGGUGGCGAAGGCGGGUCUCUGGGCAGUAACUGACGCUGAGGAACGAAAGCGUGGGUAGCGAACAGGAUUAGAUACCCGUGUAGUCC